UACGUAGGGUGCAAGCGUUGUUCGGAAUCAUUGGGCGUAAAGCGCGUGUAGGCUGUUUGCCAAGUCGAUUGUGAAAGCCCUCGGCUCAACCGGGGAAGUGCAGUCGAAACUGGCAAGCUAGAGAACGGUAGAGGAAGGUGGAAUUCCAAGUGUAGAGGUGAAAUUCGUAAGAUAUUGGAGGAAUACCUGUGGCGAAGGCGGCCUUCUGGGCCGUUUCUGACGCUGAGACGCGAAAGCGUGGGUAGCAAACAGG
rnacentral:rRNA from 1 species